rnacentral:snoRNA from 2 species
UUCUGCUUUGAUGAUGUAUGAUAAUCCCAGCUCGAUGAGACCUUUCGUAGGUCAGGGAAUAGUCUUUACCCAUUAAAGUAUCUGAGCCUAAAG